GGAGAGAUGGCAGAGUGGUCGAUUGCGUCUGACUUGAAAUCAGAAGAACUAGAAAUAGUUCCGUGGGUUCGAAUCCCACUCUCUCUU
rnacentral:tRNA from 4 species